UGCCUAUGACGAUAAUUUAUUUCACUUAUAAUCAGAUUUAUUGUGAUGAUACUACCUAUAAUUGUCACUACCUCUGAGGCA